rnacentral:rRNA from 1 species
UAACCUGCCCUUGUACUCUGGGAAUAAGCCCGGGAAAACUGGGUUCUAAUACUGGAUGCUACAUGUCACCGCAUGGUGGUGUGUGNAAAGGGUUUACUGGUCUUGGAUGGNCUCACNGCCUAUCAGCUUGUUGGUGAGGUAAUGGCUCACCAAGGCGACGACGGGUANCCGGCCUGAGANGGUGACCGGCCACACUGGGACUGAGACNCNGCCCAGACUCCUACGGGAGGCANCNNUGGGGAAUAUUGCACAAUGGGCGAAAGCCUGAUGCANCNACGCCGCAUGAGGGAUGACGGCCUUCGGGUUGUAAACCUCUUUCACCA